GCGCCCGUGGUCCAAUGGUUAGGAUUCAUCCCUUCCAUGUGCCCAUAUGCAGAGGACAUCGGUUCGAUGCCCCCCUACAUGAAGCCACGGCCAGUAGAGAGGAUGAGGUUCGAUUCCCGGCGGGCGUA